GAAAGUAAGCAAGGGCAGACGGUGGAUGCCUUGGCUCUCGGAGGCGAUGAAGGACGUGAUAAGCUGCGAUAAGCUUGGGGUAGGUGCAAAUAACCUUUGAUCCCAAGAUUUCCGAAUGGGGCAACCCGGCUGGUAGAAGGCCAGUCAUUCCGUAAGGAAGGCGAACGUGGGGAACUGAAACAUCUAAGUACCCAUAGGAGAAGAAAACAAAAGUGAUUCCGCAAGUAGUGGCGAGCGAACGCGGAACAGCCCAAACCGAUGAUGUUUAGGCAUUGUCGGGGUAGUAGGACCACGUUGUGGCAAGAGAUUAAGGAAGUAGAACGUUUUGGAACAAACGGCCGUAGACGGUGAAAGCCCAGUAUACGACUCUUUAACGAAGCCUAGUGGAAUCCUGAGUAGCGCGGAGCACGAGAAAUUCUGUGUGAAUCAGCGGGGCCCAUCCCGUAAGGCUAAAUACUCCCGAGAGACCGAUAGCGAACCAGUACUGUGAAGGAAAGGUGAAAAGCACCUCGAACAGAGGAGUGAAAUAGUCCCUGAAACCGUCUGCCUACAAGCGGUCGGAGCAACGUAAGUUGUGACGGCGUGCCUUUUGCAUAAUGAACCUACGAGUUACUUUCUCCGGCAAGGUUAAGGGCUUCAGGCCCGGAGCCGAAGCGAAAGCGAGUCUUAAUAGGGCGUGAUAGUCGGAGUGAGUAGACGCGAAACCAAGUGAUCUACCCUUGGUCAGGAUGAAGGUUGGGUAACACCAACUGGAGGUCCGAAUGGGUAUACGUUGAAAAGUGUUCCAAUGAACUGAGGGUAGGGGUGAAAGGCUAAUCAAACUUGGAGAUAGCUCGUACUCCCCGAAAUGCAUUUAGGUGCAGCCUUUAUUUAGUAUAGCAUGAGGUAGAGCGACUGAUUGGAUGCGAGGGCUUCACCGCCUAUCAAGUCCAGAUAAACUCCGAAUGCGUGCUAUAUAUUGAUAAGGAGUGAGGGCGCGGGUGCUAAGGUCCGCGUCCGAGAGGAGAAGAAUCCAGACCAUCAGCUAAGGUCCCCAAAUAACAGUUAAGUUGAACUAACGAAGUCGGACUGCAGAGACAGCUAGGAUGUUGGCUUGGAAGCAGCCAUUCAUUUAAAGAGUGCGUAACAGCUCACUAGUCGAGGAGUCCGGCGUGGAUAAUACUCGGGCAUAAACUGUUUACCGAAGCUAUGGAUGUAGAAAUACAUGGUAGGGGAGCAUUCCAACGGCGUCGAAGGUGAAGGAUGACCUUUGCUGGAGCUUUUGGAAACGCAAAUGUAGGUAUAAGUAACGAUAAAGGAGGUGAGAAACCUCCUCGCCGAAAGACUAAGGUUUCCUGAUCAACGUUAAUCGGAUCAGGGUAAGUCGGGACCUAAGGUUAAGCCGAACGGCGAUACCGAUGGAAGAAUGGUUUAAUAUUCCCAUACUACUUUAUGGAGCGAUGUGGAGACGGAGAAGUGAAAGUCCUGCCAUCUGACGGAAUAGGUGGUUGAAGAGUGUAGAUGUAGAUUCCUGUAGGCAAAUCCGCAGGGAGAGUCGACCUUGACAGUAUGCCGCGUGCUUGCACAAGGCAAAAUGGACGUAAUCAGGCUCCCAAGAAAAUCCGCUAAGCAUAUUCAUAAAGUACCCGUACCGUAAACGGACACACGUAGUUGGGUUGAAAAUACUGAGGCGCUCGAGUGAUUCACGGUUAAGGAACUAGGCAAAUUGACCCUGUAACUUCGGGAUAAAGGGUCCCUACCGAGAGGUAGGGCGCAGAGAAUAGGUCCAGGCAACUGUUUAACAAAAACACAUGGCUGUGCGAAAUAGAAAUAUGAAGUAUACAGCCUGACACCUGCCCGGUGCUGGAAGGUUAAGAGGAGAGCUCAUCGCAAGAGAAGGCUUGAAUUGAAGCCCCAGUAAACGGCGGCCGUAACUAUAACGGUCCUAAGGUAGCGAAAUUCCUUGUCGGGUAAGUUCCGACCUGCACGAAUGG
rnacentral:rRNA from 1 species